rnacentral:rRNA from 1 species
CCUACGGGUGGCUGCAGUCGAGAAUAUUCGACAAUGGGCGAAAGCCUGAUCGAGCGACGCCGCGUGCGGGAUGAAGGCCUUCGGGUUGUAAACCGCGGUAGAUAAGCAGCAACGCAAGUGAGCGCUUAUCGGAAAGUGGUUGGUAACUACGUGCCAGCACCAGCGGUAAUACGUAGACCACAAGCGUUAUCCGGAUUUAUUGGGCGUAAAGAGUGCGUAGGAGGUGCGAUGCGUCCCUGGUUAAAGCCCGCUGCCUAACGGCGGAAAUGCCCGGGAUACGAUCGCGCUGGAGGAGGUGAGAGGUGCAUGGAACUCACGGUGUAGGGGUGAAAUCCGUUGAUAUCGUGGGGAACACCAAAGGCGAAGGCAGUGCACUGGUACCUUCCUGACUCUAAAGCACGAAAGCGUGGGGAGCAAAAAGGAUUAGAUACCCCAGUAGU